rnacentral:rRNA from 1 species
CCUACGGGUGGCAGCAGUGGGGAAUAUUGGACAAUGGGGGGAACCCUGAUCCAGCCAUGCCGCGUGUGUGAAGAAGGCCCUCGGGUUGUAAAGCACUUUCAGUGAGGAAGAACGCCUGGUGGUUAAUACCCAUCAGGAAAGACAUCACUCACAGAAGAAGCACCGUCUAACUCCGUGCCAGCAGCCGCGGUAAUACGGAGGGGGCGAGCGUUAAUCGGAAUUACUGGGCGUAAAGCGCGCGUAGGUGGCUUGAUAAGCCGGUUGUGAAAGCCCCGGGCUCAACCUGGGAACGGCAUCCGGAACUGUCAAGCUAGAGUGCAGGAGAGGAAUGUAGAAUUCCCGGUGUAGCGGUGAAAUUCGUAGAGAUCGGGAGGAAUACCAGUGGCGAAGGCGGCCUUCUGGCCUGACACUGACACUGAGGUGCGAAAGCGUGGGUAGCAAACAGGAUUAGAUACCCCGGUAGUC